AGUGAACGCUGGCGGUAGGCCUAACACAUGCAAGUCGAACGGCAGCACAGUAAGAGCUUGCUCUUACGGGUGGCGAGUGGCGGACGGGUGAGGAAUACAUCGGAAUCUACUUUUUCGUGGGGGAUAACGUAGGGAAACUUACGCUAAUACCGCAUACGACCUACGGGUGAAAGCAUGGGAUCUUCGGACCUUGCGCGAUUGAAUGAGCCGAUGUCGGAUUAGCUAGUUGGCGGGGUAACGGCCCACCAAGGCGACGAUCCGUAGCUGGUCUGAGAGGAUGAUCAGCCACACUAGAACUGAGACACGGUCCAGAGUCGUACGGGAGGCAGCAGUGGGGAAUAUUGGACAAUGGGCGCAAGCCUGAUCCAGCCAUACCGCGUGAGUGAAGAAGGCCUUCGGGUUGUAAAGCCCUUUUGUGGGGAAAGAAAAGCAGCAGGUUAAUACCCCGCUGUUCUGACGGUACCCAAAGAAUAAGCACCGGCUAAAUUCGUG
rnacentral:rRNA from 1 species